AAAACAGUCCGGAUUGUCGCUGCCCGCAAGGGGAGAGGAAAGUCCGGGCAACACAGAGCCACCAUACUUCCUAACGGGAAGGCGUCCGCGAGGGCGACAGACAGUGCCACAGAAAACAAACCGCCGCCGGGCAACCGUCGGUAAGGGUGAAAACGCGAGGUAAGAGCUCACGCUUGGCUUAGCGAUAAGUCCAAGGGUAAACCUUAUGGGUUGAAAGAUCAAAUAUACCGUAUGCCAAGGCGGGCUCGGCCGAUGACGGGGGGU
rnacentral:RNase_P_RNA from 1 species